UAACAUAUGGCUUUCUUGGAUAAUUUUUAU
rnacentral:piRNA from 1 species